GAACCAGUAGCUCAGCGGUAGAGCGCUCCCACCUUGAUAGCAAUGGGGCUUCCAGGAUCUAGUGAGACUGCUAGUGAGUGGAUGUGACCAACGUAUAUAUUGGGGGAGGUCGUCUGUUCGACUCGGACCUGGUUCG